rnacentral:piRNA from 1 species
GUGGUAUCGAUGUGUCCUGUAGGGAACUUC